rnacentral:lncRNA from 1 species
AAAAACUCGCCGAGCCAUAUUAAAAGACAGUUAACAGGUUUUAAUUGGAAAAUAUACGCGUAUAAUAAUUUAUAUAAUUAUUUUAAACAACUUCCUUUAUUCCAAGGAUGCAGAUAUUUGUAGUUAAAACCACAGUAUUUGUCAAGGGCUGCUGGUACCCUUAGCUUCGUUCAACCAAGGUCAAUCGCUCUUAGCGGCAGGUGUGCGCCAAUACUACAUUCAGCGCGACAGCCUGCCUCUGAAGUCACUUUUUUCCUAUCGGAGGCACGCGACAGUUGAGCUCUUCGAACAGAUAAAGCAUCUUAAAAGCGGAUCUGUUUAAAAACAUGCAUGAAAUUUGCAUUAUUGCAAGAUGAUGCGCAUAUUUCACGUGGAAACAACGGCCCAACCCCUAGAAUAAAUCACAGACUACUUUCAAUUUAUAUUGUUGUAGCUGACGUUAGAAUUUUUAAUGAUCGGAGAGAGAGAGGCUUUUGACGCUCCUUUGCUUUACAUCAGAAUAUUUUUUUUUUUCUUUCCUUCCUUUCUUUCUUUCUUUCUCUCUUUCCUUCCCCCUUUUCCUUUUUGCAGCACAUCACGUAUGCUAUCAAACACAACUAACUUUAAUUUUAAAAAUGGAUCUGAGAUUGCAC